rnacentral:rRNA from 1 species
UACGGCGGGUGCAAGCGUUAUCCGGAUUCACUGGGUUUAAAGGGUGCGUAGGUGGGCAGGUAAGUCAGUGGUGAAAUCUCCGGGCUUAGCCCGGAAACUGCCGUUGAUACUAUUUGUCUUGAAUAUAGUGGAGGUGAGCGGAAUAUGUCAUGUAGCGGUGAAAUGCUUAGAUAUGACAUAGAACAUCGAUUGCGAAGGCAGCUCGCUACACUAUUAUUGACACUGAGGCACGAAAGCGUGGGGAUCAAACAGG